AGUCAAUAGAUACCCUGGUAGUCCUAGCCCUAAAACGAUGGGUACUAGGGUAGUAGACUAGAUAUGGGGUUUACUGCCGAAAGCUAAAAAGUGCUAAGUACCCCGCCUGGGGAGUAUGGUCGCAAGGCUGAAAACUCAAAGGAAUUGACGGGGGCGUCACACAAGGCGGUGGAGCAUGUGGCUUAAUUCGAGGCUACGCGAAGAACCUUAUCCUGGACUUGACAUGUGCGAAAGCGCUAGGUAGUAGAACCCGGAAACGGGAACGAACCAGCAAUGGGAGCCUAGUACAGGUGCUGCAUGGCUGUCGUCAGCUCGUGUCGUGAGAUGUCGGGUUAAAGUCCCAUAACGAGCGAAACCCUUACCUCUAGUUGCAA
rnacentral:rRNA from 1 species